UGCCAGCGCGCUCUCGGC
rnacentral:misc_RNA from 1 species